rnacentral:lncRNA from 1 species
AAUAGUUGUUAAACUGUUAUUAUUAAUUUAUAAUUAUUUUUAAAUAUAUAAAACAAUAAUUUAUAAUUAUUGUAUUAAAUUUAUUUUUCUAAUAGUAAUUAUAAUAAACUAAUAACAUUCAUGUGUUGGAAUCAUACUCUAAUUUUGGGAAGAAAAAAAAACUCAAUUGCUAAAAGUUAAAUUUUGUAAGAAUUAUUGAUGAAGUUAUUUUAUUCCAUUUAUUAGCAGAUCAGUACUCUUUUGUUUCCCUUUUUCUAAUUACUUUUCUCGGUAAAGCAGGUUGUUGAAGUUCUAGCAGGAAACAUUCCUCGGAAAAAUCUCAAGAAUUGAGAUGAAAUGUUUGAAAAAGAAAAUUAUUUUUUUCCUUUUCAAUAGAAGUUGGAAACUUCCUUGAAAGGCCGAUUGGACAUUGAAAUAAAAGAUAGACCUCAGUUGAAAUGGCAAAGGAGUGUAACUGGAAGACUUUCUGAAUUUUGCUUGUAUUGAUGUGUCUUGGAGACUAUUGCAAUUUAAAAAAAAAAAAAAAAGUUCCGUUUGAAAUAAAUCGAAUGUAAAAAAGUGAUUUAGCUUAGAGUAAUUUUUUUAAUUAACUCUUUUUAGUUAAUAAAAUUAAAAUUUUAGUUAUUAUGUUUCUAAAUAUACAAAUUAAAUUAAAUUCUUCUAAAUUUUUAGUUUUCAAACAGGAAAAUAAAAGGUUUUGGAAGGUUUGAAUCCAAAUAAGAACCUUGAGAGAAUUAUAUCACCACCGCCAAAUUGCUGGACUAUCUACAGUAGCAUUUCUUUUUCAAAACAAUUGAAAAUGAGGUUACUUCUUAUUAUUAAUUUAAUUCCAAUAACUUAUCAUAUUUGUCGUUAUUAUCCAUAUUAAACAAUGACCAAGAUUUUAAAAUGACUCUCUCUAAUUUAAUUCUAAUAUUAAAAAUGACCAAAUUUAUUAUCUAUAUUAAACAAUGACCCUAAGAUCAAACUAACAACUUUGUAGUUUCUUCAUUUAUUAAUAUGCAAGUGGGACAUAAAAAAAUCAUUAGUUAAUUAAUUUAGUACGUCCUAUUUUAUAAUACACUGACCAAUCUGAAAGCUGAUUGGCCCCCACAAAUGGAUUAAUUAAUAAUUCAACCUUCUUAAUUAAUGCCGCCUUCACUGACAGCCUGGGUACUGUUCAGAAACUAACAAUAUAGUAAUCUUAGAUUGCACCGACUCUGCAUAAUUUGUAUUUUUUUAAUACUCCCUACUUUGAAACUUUAAUUUUCGCUAUCAGUCCUCAUUCAAUCUAUUCGAUUUUAAAAAUUAAAUCCAUCGAAAAUUAAAAUUUAAAUAUUUUUAAAAAUUUUAUUUUAAAAAAAAAAUAUAUUUUUCAAAGUUAAAUUAAAUUAAUUUUAAUUAAAAAUUAAAUUAAAUUGAAUUCAUUUAAUUUAAUUUUAUUCAAUUCAAUUUCAUCAGUUAAAUUUUUAAUAAUUUUUAUUUUUUAUAUUUUAAAAUUUAAUUAAAUUAUUUUUAUUUUAAUAUAAUUUAAUAUAUUUAUAUUAUUAAAAAUAAUAUAUUAUUAUCCUUAAUCGGUUCAGUUUAAUUUUUUUUUAUUUUUUUUAUUAAAAUUAAACUGAAUUGAAAUAAUUAAAAUUUUUAAAAUUAAAAAUUAAAUCAAAUCAAAAUAAAUAAAAAAUUAAAUUAAUUAAUUUUUUCCAUUUAAGCUGCAUGCGAAUCACUAUCAUCUUUGCCAUGCUGUCAAAAUUAGAUAACAUAUGUUUUUAUUAAAAAAAUAUUAUGCCCAUGUAAAACAUAUAGGUUAAAUAUAUAUUUAUAUAUUUAUAUUUUAAUAUUAUAUACAAAACGAUACAAGAAUAUAUAUAUAUAUAUAUGACUGACUCUCUCUCUCCUUGGCUUUUCAUUUCCUACCUUGACUGACUCUCUCUCUCUCUCUCUCAUCGUAACCUUGUGGGCAGCCAUGGCUGGGUCUUACUUUCGCUGGUUCAAGAAUAACGAAGGAAACGCCAAUGACCAAAACAGAGGAGGUAUAUCUUUGCUUAUACUGUAAGAUAAAUCCAACUCUGUUGGAAUUUCUUACCUUCUAAUAUCUAUAUUAAUAUAUAAAAAUCCAAAUCACUGUAUCAUGAUCAUAUAUGAUUAGAUUUGUUUGUUAUGUUAUAGACCUAUUUUUCUUAUUUGAUUUAUCAAUUUUUGUUUUUCAGAUAUUAAUUAUUGACAAUAAAACUUAUAUUUAAAAAUAAAAAAAGAAAGCCCUUCUCAUUUGAUUCUCUUUUGUUUUCAAUUAUUAAAAACAGAGGAAAAUGCAAUUCCAGAACCAAGCAGAGGAGGUAUGUUACAAGUGAAUUGCUAAACAUCCUAUUUGAAAUUUCGAUUAUGUGUGAAAUUUAUAUUUGCCGUACUACAUCUUUUAGUUUCGUAAGGAAUUAUUGACUUAAAAGUAGACCUAGCUAGAUCUAUGGAACGGAAUAAAUGGAAAAUUGAAAUAUGAGUAUUUUAAUAAUCAAACCGAAUUGAUUUUAAUCAAAAAUUAAAUCAAAUCGAAUCGAUUUGAUUCAAUUUAAUUUAAUGAGUUUUAGUUUUUAAUAAAUUUUUUUAUUUUUUACGCCGUUUUUUAAUAUUUUAAAAUUUAAUUGAAAUAUUUUAAUCUAUAAUCUAAUCUCUUUAUAUUAUUAAAAAUAAUAUAUUAUUACCAUCAAUCAGUUCAGUUUGAUUAUUUUAAUUUUUUUUUUAUCAAAAUCAAACCGAAUUGAAAUAACUAAAAUUUUUAAAAUUAAAAUUCGAAUUGAAAUAAAUAAAAAAUUUAACUUAAUUUUUAAAUUAAUUCAGUUCGGUUAAUUUUUUCGAUUUGAAUUCAAUACUGCUCACUCUUAACCAGAUUUAUUCAAGCCGUGAAUUGAAUUGAAAUGAUCAAUUAAAUUCUAAGGUGACUCCCCCUUAUGAAUGAGAAAAAAUGGGAUUUUUAUAAUGUUUUGAUGUUUAACCUAGGGUUUUAGAGUCAAAAUAAGAGGAAAAUUAUAUUCUUAUAGUGUCUCACGACUAGGCCGUGCCUGAGGAGACUUUGUCUCGGCCCAGUUGAUCAAGUAUAAUUUAGCGACAUUUUUCUUAUUAUUAUUACUAUUUAAAUAUGUAUUUUCUUACCUUAAUUUAUAUUUUUACAAUAUUUUUGCAGAAAAGGAGAAAAAUGGAAACUUGGAGAAAAAUAGCUUGAAAUGCUAGAAAACUGAUUUGGCCGAAGCGAUUUGACCAAAUCAAGCCUCAAAGAAUGCCAAAGGCAGCUACAAGAAGAGGAAGCUAACCUACAAGACUUGAUAUGCCUAUGUUGAUUUGCCCGGAUCGUUGGCCAAAUCACCUUAAGAAAAGUUGAAACUGAAACCCGGAGGAAACACGCAGAAAUGAUUUGGGCGAGGGAUUUGCUCAAAUCACUGUCUAAAUCAACGGUCCUCAGCAAGAAAAUACAGAAGCACGGAAAAGCAAAAAUCCAAAGAUUCAAACGUCUUAGAGUCCUAUCCUACUUCAAAUACACCAAGACCAAUCCUAUGACACCACAUAAACUGCACCAAAAGGAGUCCUACACCAAAUGAGAUCUAUUCAUGCUAGAAUAUAAGAUAAAGAAGAAAUAAAAAAAAGACCAUCAAAGACCAAGUCUAAAUAAGAUUCCAACUCCAAGAAGGAUUAAGACUUCUCACCUAUAAAAAAGGGCAGCAACCAACAGCAAAAAAAUAUCAGAAUUUUGGGCAGAAGCUUCGACAACACCUCUCGCUCUCAUUUUCUUCUUCUUUUUCUCUUUUAUGUGUUCUUUAUCCACCAUGAGUGGCUAAAAACUUUUAUCUCUAGUUGAAGUUGGAGAAAUUUCAGUUUGUUAUGAAUUGGGAGAUUUGAAACUCCAUUGUUAAAACUUUUAUUUUUCAAGAUUUAUGCAACUUGUUCUUCAUGUCUAUUAUUGCCUUGCUAUUAGAAUCAAUAAGGGCCCAUUGCUUUUAAUUAUAGGUAAUAUAUUGUUAGUUUAAAUAAUUUAGGUCUGUAAUUGCUUAGAUUAUUUGAACACAAGUAACAAUUGGUUGCAUGAUCUAACUUAACCACGCGGUUGACAUUAGAAUUAGGUUUCUCUAUUUUUUAAUGCAGUUAACAGUUGAAAAGUGAAAAACUCUAAAGACGUUCCUUGGCAAUUUGUUAACUAGUGUUUGAUUAACGAACAUUUCCUAAUCAAAUUAAAACUAAUGAGGAAUUUGGUUGUGGGAAGCGUCUUCCACAACCUAAACUAAUUUAUUAAUAUAAAUAGAAGUAUCCAAGCGUCAAUGAUCAAUUCUAAACUGAAAUGGAUCAUAUACUUCAAUUAGAGUCUUUUUAUUAUUGAUUUACCCAUCUUUUAAUUAUUGCUCUCUUUACUACUUUAGUAUUAAUCUUAGAUCAUCAUCAUAAAAAACAACCCCCUUUAUUUUAUUUUUGUUAGUUGAUUUGCCCCGGUCAUUGUUAGGAAAGUCUUUAGUGUCAAAUCUCUGUGUUUCGAUCCUAUUGCCACUAUCUACAGUUCUUUUUGGUGAUUAUUAAUAGAUUUAUUUUUUACGAUUUCGACAACCGCUAUCACUAGUGGUGAAAACUACUGUCCAUUUAGGCAAAAAACAUGUCUCACGACAAGGUUGUGAGACAUUUUGACCUCAUUUUUUUUUUCUAUUCAUUGCUCCUCAUGGCCUAUUUGUGAAUUUUGGUUGGCCAUGAGAAGUUUUGACUUUUGAUCUCCAAAAUGUUCAAAAUCUUCAAAAUAAACUCCAAUUCUACUUUAGAAAUAAAAAAAAUUAAUAAAAGUUAGAUAUUUUAAAAUUAAUAUCUACCAAAUAAAAAUUAUAUAAAAAAUAAGUAUAGAAUUGUAUUUAAAUGUGGUAAAAAUAAAUAUAAAAAUUUAUUAUAUUAAUAAGUGAAAUAUUAGUUAACUUAAAAUAUGUAUUUUUUUUAAUUUUAAUUGGAACCUAUCAUCCUAGGUUCUUCAGUUUUUGCAUUCAACUGAAUUUAUUUGCAUCUGGGUAUGGAUCUGAAAUUUGCUGUGGAUAAGAUAUAUAUACACACACACGUAUAAAUAUGGUUAACAAUGGAGAAGGAUAUUGUAGCAAUGGGAGAUUGAACUGGUAGCACAAUUAUUGGCUUUCAUUAAUACAAUUAGAACAUAUAUAGACUGAGAGAAAUCAUCACCUCAUUUAGGAAGUUUAAUUAAUGUUACAGAUUCUCUUUAUCAAUUAUAACAAAACCUGAACGAAUUAAAUAAACCAUUUGUUAUUAUGUAAAUUAAAGAAUGAAUAAUUAAAAAAUCACAAUCAUAUGAAUUAGGUUCACCUUCCAGAUCGUUGACUUUUGAAAAAGGGUUAAAAUACUAAUUAAAUUUGAAGGCCAUGAUUGUUCAUGGAUAGAGUCUUAGCAUAAGUGUAUCCAUUCAUACGUCUAAGUGGAAAUCACGUUAACCUUAUGCCUUAAUAAACAAUACACAACUUGUUAUUUUUGUAAGACUUUUAUAUUUUUAUUUUAUUUUCAUUGUUGGCCACUACACGAAAUUGAUUGGUCAAUUAUUGAGUUAAAGUUAGAAUAAAGAGAAACUCAUUGAGCUAAAGUUACCUACUGUCUUCCUUCAUCCUUCCUACUUACUCUCUAUCUCUGACCAUUCCCAUUCACACUCUAUAAGAACUGUAUUAUAUUUAUACUUGCAACAAACCUCUGGUCGUGGUUGCAUAAGUCUGCAAGUUCCGAUGGCCUCUCGCUUGGGGAUGAACGGGGCAGAUCGCCGGAUGGAAACUAGAGGUAUUACUUGUUUUUAGCUGAAACUGUUGUACCAAAUAGUAAUAGUUCAUGGAGAUUUCAUUUCAUCUAACUCAUUGGGGCAUGUUGUCUAUUGAUUGUCACUGAGCACAGAUCCAAAUGAAUCUGGCUCAUCUCCUGAGAAGAGACCAAGUCAUACAUCUGCAUCUGUCAAUUAUAAUGAUAUUGGGCCAAAGCCAUAUUCAUACAGUGAAUUAGCAAGGGUAACUGGUCAUUUCUCGCUUAAUAACCUAAUUGGUCGAGGUGGUUUUGGUCAUGUUUUUAAGGCAGUCUUAGAUGGUGAGAUUCGUGCUAUCAAGAAACUUGAUUUUCUGGAUGUACAAUCUGAAGGAAGUUUGGAGAGGGAGAUUAUGGUCAUCAAAAGCAUCAGCCACAGAAACCUCGUUGAACUGGUUGGUUACUGUAUUGAUGGAGCCAAUAGAUUGCUCAUCUUAAAGUAUUUUCCAAAUGGAUCCUUGAGAUUUAAAUUACAUGGUGAGUCCCAUAUCCUUUCUUUUACUUUUAUGUUCAUCUAACUAAUCAAUAUGACAUAAUUAAUCUUACAAAUUAUAAAUGGUAUUAUAGGAAGUGAUAAUGUUUUGGACUGGGAGACAAGAAUGAAGAUCGCCAUAGGUUCUGCAAGAGGGUUAGAAUAUUUACAUGAAAAUUGUGAGUAUAUACUACUACAUAUUCUUAUAUGGCAGGAUUUUAGCUUUUGAGUGUAAAUUUAUUUAUUUAUUUUUAUUUAUGUUGAUAAUUUAUUUUCUCUCAAAAUUUUAUAUUCUUUUUUUUAUAUUUUUUUCAGGUAAACCUAAGAUUAUACAUUUAGAUAUUAAACCAGAUAAUAUUCUUCUCGACGAAAAUUUUGAACCUAAGGUGAGUUAAUUUUAUAAUUAAUAAAUAUUUUAUUUAUAUUACUGUUCUCUAACAAAAAAAAUAUCAUUAAAUACCAAAAUUUUAUUUUUAAACAGUAUUGAAAAAUUAUGUGAACUCAUUAAUUAUAUAAUUUGAUUGUUGUAAUUAAUUAAUAAAUUUUGGUUCUAACUUUUUGGUUUGGCCAUAUAUCUUAUAAAAAAAUUAAUAAAUCAAUCUUAGUAGGUUUCUUAUCUUUUUUUUUUCAUGAUUUAAAGUUUUCUUAAUAAACCUUAUUGAAGUAGGGAAAAUAGUGUAAUUUAUCAAAUUAAAAAAGUAAUAAACUUAUUAAUCUUCUCAAAUCAUUUGUUUAGAUAACAGAUUUUGGACUUGCUCAAUUUUUUACGGACGGUGCUACUCACAUAUCCAAAUCGUCAGUUAUGGGAACCCAUGUGUAAGAUAUAAAUUUCUUUUUUAUCAUUUAAUUGCAUCGCUAUUAUUGUUUAACUCUUUCGUUGCCAUUAUUAUCUACUCUUAGACUAGUUUAAAAAUAAAAUAAAAUUUAAAACAGACCAAAAAAAACCCACGAAAAGAAAUUAGGACUUGAAGAUCUUAGUUCGUUAAAGAAAAUUUUAACAUGAUUUUUUUUAGAAAUUUAUAAUUUAGUACCUCAAUAUUGCAAUUAUUAACAAGUCAGUUCUCGUAUUUUCAGAAAUCUAUUAAAAUGUCUUUAUUUCUGCUGUUAAAAAUAUAUCAAAAAACCAAAUUAUCUCCCUUCUUUUCCUCUUCCUUCUUCUUCAUUAAUUCUUCCUCCUCUUCUUCUUCUUUGGUUCUUCUAUUUCUUCUUCUUCGAUUUUUUUUUAUUCUUAUUCUUUAAAGAGGAGGAGACGAUUCUUCUUCUUCUUCUUCUUCUUCAUCAUCAUCAUCUUCUUCUCCUUCUUUUUCUUCUUCUUCUUCUUCUUCUUCUUUUUCUUCUUCUUUUUCUUCUCCUUCAUCAUCAUCUUCUUCUUUUUUUAUUCUUCUUUGAGGAGGAGGAGGAGGAGGAGGGACUAUUUUAUUGACGGAAAGAAACGAUAAAGACGUUUUAAUGGAUAUGAGAAAAGAUAAGAACGUUUUAAUAGAUUUCUAAAAAUAUAGGGACUAACUUGUUAAUAAUAACAAUAUCCAAGAACUAAAUAAGGGGUUUUAUUUGAAAGCAAAAUUGUAUUUUAAAAGUUUUUUCUCUCAUUCUUUAUCUAUUUUUAAUGGAAAAGAGGACGGAAUGACUAUUUCGUUGACGGAAGAACUAUUUCGUUAACAGAGAAAAAAGAUAAAGAAGUUUUAAUAGGUUUCUAAAAAUACAGAGAUUGACUUAUUAAUAAUAACAAUACUCAAAGACUAAAUAAUAAAUCUCUCUUUUUUUUUGGUAAGUACCUUAAUAUGAAAUUUAAUUGUGAUGAUUUUACUGCAGUUAUGAAGAUCCAUUUACAACAAAAAUGGGAAAAUACUCAGACAAAUCUGAUAUUUAUUCUUUUGGUGUUACACUUUUAGAGUUGAUCACCGGAAGAAAACCCAUAUAUAAUGGAAUUGACAUUAUUACUUGGGUAUGACUCUAUUUGCAUUAAAGAUUUUAUUUUAAACAUUCAAUUGAAAAAAAAAUAAAACUUUUGAAUUUAGAUAUUCUAUUUAGAUUUGAGUCUAAUGCAUUUAUUAUCCAUUAAUAAAUAAUUUUUUAAACAUUCAAUUGAAAAAAAUAAAACUUUUGAAUUUAGAUAUUCUAUUUAGAUUUGAGUCUAAUGCAUUUAUUAUCCAUUAAUAAAUAAUUUUUUAAUCAAUGUCUUUUAGGCAAAUCCUUUAAUUGAGAACGCCAUAGAUGGAAGAUAUGUGAAUUUGGUAGAUUCCAAAUUACAAUCCUUCGACCAGGAAGAGAUGCAUAGAAUGAUUUCUUGUAUUAAUUCUUGUCUAAAUCAAUUACCAAACUCUCGUCCAACAAUGGAAAAGGUAAAAUUUAUUCAUACAAUUAACUUAAUUUUAAUAUAUUCAAAACUAUAUAUAUAUAUUACACAUUAUAUAUUUUCAAUUAAUUUUAUGAAAGCAUAUAUCUCGAAAGAUUACAUAGUUAACUUGUAAACAGAUACGAUUAGUUCUUGAAGGAAAAUUACCUCCAGAGAAAUUAUACAAACACAAAUUGCAAUGGAGUAUUACACAUGAAGGUACAUAUUCUUUUAUAUUAAUUUAUUAUAAAUUAUAUGUAUAUUUAUUCGAAAGUUUGAUCUAAUUGAUGUCUAAAUUUUGAUUUAAUUUGUGUCUUAUCUUAAUAUCAAGAAACAAAUGUUGAUUUUCAACUGUAAAAAUAUAAUUUUUUUUUUUAAUUUGAAAUUUAUAACAAAUUAGUUUUUAACCAAAUCUAAUAGCAUAUUAAUGAAAUAUAAUUUUAACAAUGAUGAAACAUUUACCUUAAAAUUCAUUCACAUAAUUUAAUUCUGGUACAUUUCAAAAUUCUCUCUAUUUUACGGACUAUUUUCAAUUAAUUUUGUGGAAACAUUGAGAGAAUACGUAAUCGACUAUUAAAUCUGAUUGGCUAUAAUUCCUUUAUUUAAAAAGAGGAAGGAAUGAUAUGAACUUAUUUCACCUUUAAAAAAAAUGUUUCUGCCUCAGAUUUUGCUUUUUUCCGUUAAUAAUUCUCCUUACAGAGCUGCACUAAUUUACCCUUUUUCUUUUUUUUGGCAAGCAGAUGAGCCUAAGCCAAGUCCCAAGCCUCCAAUCAUUCAAGGAACUAAUAAUAAUAGUACACGAAAUAUUCGACUUGCCAGGCGACGUCGACCAACAGAAGCAACUAGCAAUGGUUCCUCCAACAUCAUUCAAGAAACUUCAUUUGAUGAUGAGAUGAUAUAUGAAAAGCCCGUUUUGGACAGAGGAGAAAACUGUUGCAUUUCAUAAAACCUUAAACCUUUCUCUUUCUUAUUUUUUAUAGACCAGGUCCUCCUUAUCAUUUUAAGCCUCUCUUUUUUUUUUUUUUUAAAACCAUAACUUAUUACAUUUCUACACAUUCUCUCUAUUGGAUAUGACCUAACUUUAAAAAAUAGCCUCUUUUACUUAAGUCCAAUAUCAAAUUUGGAGUAUCAACAAUUCUUUUCAUUGAUAAAUCCGUUGGUGGAUAUAAGACGAAGCAACUAAUUUUAAAUUUUAUGACAUACUUGGAUUGGACCUAACUUUUAAUCGACGUCGGAUGGAGACCCACGAUAGCUUUUUAGAAAAGGAAUUUCGAAACGCAUGACUUUUAAAAGUGUGAUUAGGGUAACAGGCCUGGUCACAAAAUUCAAGUGGUCAAUUUUUCAUUUUAAUUAUUUUUUUAAAUAUUUUUAUAAUUUUGCAUAUUAGAAUUUUUUCUAUUAUAAAUAGGUUUUGGCUAUUUGAGACUCACUUGUCACUUUUUUAAGAAUUUCGAUAAGACUUUUCCACUUUUAACCAUUCGUUUUUUUCAUAUCGUCUUAGUCAAACAAUAUUGAUAAAAAUUACAGACGGAGUUCUUUAUCAAAUAGUACCAUUCAUUUUUUAAAAGUCUGGUUGUUAAGAUUUUACCAACAAAUUUCAAAUUUGUUAGCGCUAUGUACUACUGAAUUUAUCAACAUAGAUUUCCAUAUCUUAUCUAAUUUGGGUUGUAGUCUAGAACUUUUCAUGUUGAGUUAUAAUAUGGUGCAUAAAUAAAGUAUACUUAAAAUUCAAGCCAUAUAAAUAACAUAAUUUAUGUUUAAUAUUUAUUAAAAAUAUAAAUAUAUUUAGAAAGAAAGUGUAGAUGAUAAAAUAAAGUAUGAAAAAUUAAAAAAAUGAGAGAAAGUAGAAAUAGUAGAAAAGUAAAUGGUAUAAAAUGAGAGAAAAUUAUUAAAAAGAAAAAGAAAAAGGAGAAAAAACUAAGAAAAUGAUUAAAAAGAAAAAUUAUGGAGAAUAGAAAAGAAUAAAAGAAGAGGGAAAAGAUAAUUAAAGAAGUGAGGGAAAAGGAAAUAAAUGAUUAGAGAAAAAAAAAUGAAUGAAGAGAAAAUAAUAGAAAAGAAAAAGAUAGAUAAAAAAAUAAUAGAAAAAACUAAAAUUAGAGAAAUUAAUAUGAAUAAGAAUUAUAUAAAAAUAAAAAAAUGAGACAUAAAAAAGGAAGAAAAAUAAUGAAAGAAAAGAAAAUGAAAAAAGUUAUAGAAAGAAAAAUUAUAGAGCAAAAUGAAGAAAAUAAGAACAGAUGAAGAGAAUAAGAGAAAAAAAAGGAUAAUAGAAGAAUGAGAAAUGAUAAAAAAAUAAUAAUAAUAAGAGAAAAAAGAUUAUGAGAUUAGAAAGUUAAAAUAAAAGAAAAUAAUAAAAAAUGAAAAAAAUGAAAAAAAAAAGGAAAAUGAAAAAAUAAAAAAUAAUAUAUGGAUGGAUGACAAAAGGAAAAGGAGAAGUGUUAAUAUUUAUAAAUCAAAUUAUUAAUGGAUUAUAAAUAUUUUAAAGAAAAUGUGUUUUUGAAGAGAAAGAAGGAGAAGCAUGCCUUUUUCCUUUUAUUCAAGAUGUAAUGAGUUUUUACAAGAGUAAGAUAAUCCCGAAACUUAGUUUUAGAGGAGCUUAUAUACUCCUCACGUGGAGCGUAACAGGUGCUCAGAUUGUAAAAGGACAAUUAUGCCCAUAAGACAGCAAAGAAUAAAACAAAACAAUAUAUAUCAACUAAACUAUGAUUAUCUUGCAUUCUCUUCACGCCUCCUGCAAGUUGGAACUGGGAUGGAGACCAGGGGCAACUUGGAACAAAGGUGGUGAUGCUGAUCAGAAGAUAAAGGCUUGGUGAGCAAGUCUGCAAGUUGAGCAGUGGUGGAAACAUGCGAAGGGUGAAUGAAGCCCCGCUGAAGCUGCUCACGGACAAUGUGGCAGUCAAUCGAAAUGUGUUUUGUACGUUCAUGAAACACCGGGUUAGCAGCGAUAUGCAAGGCAGCCUGAUUGUCACAGUGGAGAGGGAUUGGCAGCUGAGUAGGCACCUGCAAGUCUUGAAGAAUAUAAGAAAUCCACAAUAAUUCACAAAUAGUACUUGCCAUAGCACGAUAUUCCGCCUCAGCGAAUGAUUUUGAGACAGUGGGUUGUUUCUUGGUUUUCCAAGAAACCAAUGAGGAUCCAAAAAAAAUGCAGAAUCCAGUGAGAGAUUUGCGCGAAAAGGGGCAGGAGGCCCAAUCAGAAUCACAGUAAGCUGUGAGAGGCAUGGUGGCAGUAACAGGAAAGCAUAGCCCUUGAUGUAUAGUGCCUUUCAAGUAGCGAAGGACAUGCAUGGCAGCCUCCCAAUGAGGCUUGCGGGGUUGAUGCAUGAACUGGCUCAGAUGUUGGACAGCAUAACUGAGGUCAGGCCGUGUAAGAUUAACAUAUAGCAACCUCCCAAUUAGACGUCUGUAAGCAUGGGGUUCAGGAAGAAUAUCUCCUGUGUCCAGAGAGAGAUGCAGCCCUUUAGGCAAGGGAAAGGAGGCUGGUUUGCAUGAGUGCAUACCAGCAUCCCUCAAAAUGUCAGAAAUAUACUUGGUUUGGCUUAAAAGAGUAGCAGUAGAUGAUCUGGCCACUUCUAGGCCAAGAAAGUAUUUCAGAAACCCCAAGUCUUUAAUGGUGAACUUGGAAUGUAAAGCAUUUUUAACCUCAGUCAUAGCAACAGUAGAGGUACCAGUAAGAAGAAUGUCAUCCACAUAUAUUAACAAGGCCAAAAAAUAGUCAGUAGUGCAUUUAACAAACAGGCAGUAGUCAUGGGCAGAUUGGGUGAAACCUAGUGUCUGUAAAAAACUUGUAAACUCAAGAUUCUAUUGCCGAGAAGCCUGUUUAAGUCCAUAUAAGGACUUCUGGAGGAGGCAGACUUGCCCGGGCAGAGCUUUAUCAUAACCCUGUGGUGGAAGCAUAUAGACUUCCUCAUCUAAGGUGCCAUGUAAGAAAGCAUUGUUUAUGUCAAGUUGAAACACAGGCCAUUGUUUAUGAGUAGCAAGGGCUAUGAGAAUACGAACUGUAGCCAAUUUGGCAACAGGAGAAAACCGAUCUUUAUAAUCAAGACCUUCAAUUUGAUUGUAACCCUUGGCGACCAACCGGGCUUUGAAUCUAUCAAUGUCACCAUUUGGUUUACAUUUGACCUUAUAGACCCAUUUACAACCUAUGGCUUUCUUGCCUUUAGGAAGGGUUGUAAGGAUCCAGGUGUUAUUCUGUUCGAGGGCAUGCAAUUCAUGUUGCAUUGCAUUAACCCAAUCAGUAUUUUGCGAUGCCUGAAUGUAGGUGGCAGGUUCUGGAAUGUGAGAAAUGUUCAGGACAUAUGUUUGAUAUGAAGGUGAAAGGUGAAUGGUGGAAAUGGGAGGAUGGACAGUGGUGAUUGCCGUGGCAACAAAGUCAUCCAGCCACGCUGGUGGUUUAAUGGCUCUGGAAGACCUUCGGAGGCCAGAGAGAUCAGGAGAAGGCUGAGAAGGUGAGGAUAUAGAUGUGAUAGGCUCUGAAUCAGGUAUGGGAAUAGGCAGCACCACAGGGGGUUGCAGAGAUUGUGUGCUAAAGGGAAAAAUGUGUUCAUAGAACACAACAUCACGGCUAACAAAGAUAGCACCAGUAGCUAGAUCAUAGAGUUUGUAAGCUUUGUGAUUACUGGCAUAACUAAUAAAGGCUGCCUUAAUGGACUUGGUACCAAAUUUGUCUUUGUGAGUGUUUGUUUUGGUGGCAAAACAAAGGCAUCCAAAUUUUUUUAGAUGGAAAUAAUCAGGGGCUUUCCCAUAGAGACGCUCAUAAGGGCUCUGCCAACCAAAUUGGGCCAUAGGAAGUCUGUUUAUUAGAUAGGUGGCAGUAAGGACACAUUCAGACCAAAAAGUGUGUGGGACAUGAGAGUGUAUUUUGAGAGCUCUAGCCAUGUCUAAAAGAUGUCUGUGCUUUCUCUCAACCACUCCAUUUUGUUGAGGAGUGUGAGGACAAGAUCUUUGAUGUAUUAUGCCCUUUUGAUUUAAUAGUCUAGAGCAAUCAUUACUAAGAAAUUCACAUCCGUUAUUUGUCCUUAUUGUCUUGACAGAGGCAUUGAAGUGAGUUUGCACCAUAUUCAGAAAUGUAGAUAAGAUAUGAACAGUUUGACUUUUAAGGCGCAUUAAGAAGGUCCAGGUGGCCCUGGUAUUGUCAUCAACUAAAGUGAGAAAGUAUUUUGCUCCUGUGACACUUUCUAUGUUAUAAGGGCCCCAAAUAUCUAUGUGGAGGAGAUCAAAAGGUUCCUUAGCAACAGUGGUACUAAGGGAAAAGGGUAACCUGGCCUGCUUGGCUUGGGAACAGGUUUGGCACUGUAAAGGAGUACCCUUAGUGUGUUUAAGCACAUCAAUAUGUUUGAGUUUCCCAAGGGAUGCAUGCCCUAGUCUAUCAUGCCAAUCAACAAUAUUACUAGCAUACAUACAAGAUUCAGUUCGAGAAGAUUGGCUUUCUUUAUUUAUAGAAUGUGUAGAAAGCAUGGUAUUUANNNNNNNNNNNNNNNNNNNNNNNNNNNNNNNNNNNNNNNNNNNNNNNNNNNNNNNNNNNNNNNNNNNNNNNNNNNNNNNNNNNNNNNNNNNNNNNNNNNNNNNNNNNNNNNNNNNNNNNNNNNNNNNNNNNNNNNNNNNNNNNNNNNNNNNNNNNNNNNNNNNNNNNNNNNNNNNNNNNNNNNNNNNNNNNNNNNNNNNNNNNNNNNNNNNNNNNNNNNNNNNNNNNNNNNNNNNNNNNNNNNNNNNNNNNNNNNNNNNNNNNNNNNNNNNNNNNNNNNNNNNNNNNNNNNNNNNNNNNNNNNNNNNNNNNNNNNNNNNNNNNNNNNNNNNNNNNNNNNNNNNNNNNNNNNNNNNNNNNNNNNNNNNNNNNNNNNNNNNNNNNNNNNNNNNNNNNNNNNNNNNNNNNNNNNNNNNNNNNNNNNNNNNNNNNNNNNNNNNNNNNNNNNNNNNNNNNNNNNNNNNNNNNNNNNNNNNNNNNNNNNNNNNNNNNNNNNNNNNNNNNNNNNNNNNNNNNNNNNNNNNNNNNNNNNNNNNNNNNNNNNNNNNNNNNNNNNNNNNNNNNNNNNNNNNNNNNNNNNNNNNNNNNNNNNNNNNNNNNNNNNNNNNNNNNNNNNNNNNNNNNNNNNNNNNNNNNNNNNNNNNNNNNNNNNNNNNNNNNNNNNNNNNNNNNNNNNNNNNNNNNNNNNNNNNNNNNNNNNNNNNNNNNNNNNNNNNNNNNNNNNNNNNNNNNNNNNNNNNNNNNNNNNNNNNNNNNNNNNNNNNNNNNNNNNNNNNNNNNNNNNNNNNNNNNNNNNNNNNNNNNNNNNNNNNNNNNNNNNNNNNNNNNNNNNNNNNNNNNNNNNNNNNNNNNNNNNNNNNNNNNNNNNNNNNNNNNNNNNNNNNNNNNNNNNNNNNNNNNNNNNNNNNNNNNNNNNNNNNNNNNNNNNNNNNNNNNNNNNNNNNNNNNNNNNNNNNNNNNNNNNNNNNNNNNNNNNNNNNNNNNNNNNNNNNNNNNNNNNNNNNNNNNNNNNNNNNNNNNNNNNNNNNNNNNNNNNNNNNNNNNNNNNNNNNNNNNNNNNNNNNNNNNACAGGUGCAUGGAGGAAGGGUCUCCAUUGAUCCCAAUUCAUCCCAAAACCCUUUCAAUUUAGUGAAAUAGACAGAUGCAGAGGCAUUGUCUUGAGAUAUCAAGGAUAUUUUCCUACGCAACUCAUAGAUCAUGGUUCCAUUACACUCACCGAAUCUUUCGGUAAUUUCAAGCCAGAGAUCCCUAGGUGAGGCUGUGUAAAUGAAGCCAUCGACUAACUCUCUGGAUAUAGAAUUUAGAAUCCAGGAUGUGACCAUAAAGUCACAUCGCUUCCAUUGUUCAUAGGAAUCAGAUCCUUUAUCAGGUAUUGUAACGGUGCCUUCUAUAAAUUCCAGUUUCUGUUUGGCUCCUAGGGCUAUCCUAAUGGCUCUACACCAAGACCUAAAAUUUGUCCCUAUCAGAGGAGCAUAUACUAAAACCAUACCUGGAUGGUCCGAAGACUGGAGAGUCAGAGGAUCUCCAAGAUUCUGAGUUCCGAUCUGGAUUUUGUCCUUCGCCUCCGUGAUUUUGCCUUCUUUACUGGUAUUCCCUCGUUCUGCCAUGAUCGACAAGAUUUGUCCGUUUUAGCCACAGAUCGUGGUGUAAGUUUGUAGAUCUGACUGAGUUGAGGCCGUCUUGAAGGAAAACGGAAAGAUUAACGAGAUCUGCUUGUCAUGCAAGCCAGAUUCGGUGUAGGACUGGUGAUGGCGUUCACCUGGAGUGUAAGCCGGCUCUUUUCGGUAAAGGUUGUUUUAAAAAAGGAAUGGCGAGGAUGAACGGAAGAGACAGGGAAAGGUGCAAACCCUAAUCCGCUCUGAUACCAUGAAGAGAAAGAAGGAGAAGCAUGCCUUUAUCCUUUUAUUCAAGAUGUAAUGAGUUUUUACAAGAGUAAAAUAAUCCCGAAACUUAGUUUUAGAGGAGCUUAUAUACUCCUCACGUGGAGCGUAACAGGUGCUCAGAUUGUAAAAGGACAAUUAUGCCCAUAAGACAGCAAAGAAUAAAACAAAACAAUAUAUAUCAACUAAACUAUUAUUAUCUUGCAUUCUCUUCAUUAUCCUUUAAAAAUUAUUAAAAUAUUUAAAAUUUAUUAAUAAAUUUAUUGGUGAAUGAAAAAUAGUAGAUUUUAAAAAAGUAACACUCAAAUUUUAAGUAAGAUUAUAUUUAAAAUUCAUUAAUAAAUUUAUUGAUGAAUGAAAAACAGUACAUUUUAAAAAAGUAAUACUCAAAUUUUAAGAUUUAAUUUUAAAUUUAUUGAAAGAUAAAAAUACCUUUUCUAUUUAUUAAUUUAAUAAUAAGAAUUAUUAAUAAAUUUUAAAAUUUAUUGGUAAUCUAUUUACAAACUAUUAAUAGAUUUAAAUUUUAUUAAUAAUUUUAAUAGUUUGUUCGGAAGUAUCAAUAAAUUACUAACUGAUUAUUAAAUUUCUACCACAAUAAUUUUAUAAAUUUAUAAAAUUAUCAACAAAUUCUAAAAUCCAUUAUUUAAACUUUUACACAAAAAUAUGACGGAACUUAUUAUUGAAUUCCAAUAACUUAUUAGUAUAUUUCUACGCAUUCUCUUUAUUAAAUAAUGACCAAGCUAUUUAAAAAUGACCCUCAUAUUAUUGGCUAAUUAAUAAUUCAACCAUCUUCUGUGACAGCCUGCUGCUGUGUGGAGAUUACUUGCUCAAGUUUUCUUUUUUUAUUCAAUUAAUUUCAGUUUAAAUAAUUGAACUCAAAAAUAUUGUUGACUUUGGAAAAAGGGUUAAUAGUAUUUAAAUUCAAAGACCAUGAUUGCUCAUUGAUGGAGCCACUAGCGUAAGUAUAUGCAUUCAUAUCUCUUAGGUAGAAAACAAGCCAACCUUCUCUAUUGCCUUGAUAAACAAUAAACAACUUGUUAUUGUCAUUUGACUUUUUAUAUUUUAAUUUUUUUUAUAAAUAUAUGUUGCCCAUAUCACAAAAUUAAUUGGUCAAUUAUUGAAUUCGAAUAUCUCUUUAACCCUUAAGUUGGAUUUUAAUAUAAAGUAUAAAGAAAUCUUAAUUAUAUAAUUUACUAAUUGAAUAAUUGAGGUUUUUUCUUGAAAAAAUUGUAAGUUAGAAGUAAAACGCAUUUUAAAAGUCAUUCAUGAAUAUGCACACAAAAAUAUAUCAGUAGUGAGUGCCAUUUUAAAAAUUUAAUAAUUUGAAAAAAAAAAUAAAAAAAAAGGAAAUUAAGAGAGAUAAACGAAGUGGAAAAGCAAAAUUGAUAAACUUCACUUACAUCUUAAUUUUCAUCUAUUUAUAUUAUUUUUAAAUUGAAUUUUCUUUUUGAUUUUCCACUGAAAUAAAAGGAAUUAUAAAGUAUAUACCAAAACCUCAAUCUCAAUGAAGUAAUUAGGUUUAUUAAAAUUAUUUACUUUCUUAAAAGAUGAAAGGGUGGAAAGGAUAAGAAUAGCAUUUUUUAAUUAUAUAGUUAAAUUCAUUAAUCUUGAUUUUUAUAUAAAAAACUUAUUUGAUCACUUGAUUGAUGGAAAGAUAAAUAUUAAAUUACUAUUUUUUUAAAAAAAAACAUAACAUUAUCAAUAAAUAUAUAUAAUAGAUACACAUUUUUAUUAUUAUUCAUAGCUUAUCUAAUUCGUAAGAGUGACACUCAAGUAUUAAAGUCAAUUGUUAUUCUAAAAAAAAGUCAAUUAUUUAGAUGUCACAAUGAAAAUAUGACUAUUAUUUUUUGUUUAGAAUAGGAAACAACUCAAUAACAAUUAAAUUUAUAUCCAUUACACAAAAUGUCAUUGACUGGAGCUGGAGGCCACAUGCUGCACAUUCUACGUUCAACGUCAACGUUAUAAUUCUUUUUUUAAGAAAAACGAAGGUCUGAACGCUAAUGUUACCAGCUGUCCUUCCUUUAUCUUUCCUACAUCUCCUUCUCUAUCUCUGAUCUUUCACAUUCACACUUUAAUAUAAGAACUGUAUAUAUAUAUACUUGCAAGAAACCAUUGGUUGUGGUUGAAUAAGUCUGCAACUUCUGAUGGCUUCACCGUGGGGAGAUCGCCGGAAUGAAACUAGAGGUAUUAGUCGUUCUAGCUAAAACUGUUUAAUGAGUUCAAAUAGUAAUAUUGUUAUGGAACUUUCAUUUCAUAUAACUUAUUGAAGCAUGUUGUUUAUUGUAUGGUCACUAAGUACAGAUCCGAAUGAAUCUGACUCAUCUCCUGAGAAGAGUCCAAGUAAUGCAUAUGCAUCUGAUAAUUCUAAGGUUAUUGGGCCAAAAUCAUAUUCAUACAGUGAUUUAGCAAAGGCAACUCGUCAUUUUUCGCUGAAUUACCAAAUUGGUCAAGGUGGUUUUGGUCAAGUCUUUAAGACAUCCUUAAACGGUGAGACCUAUGCUAUCAAGAAACUCAAUAAUUUUGUAGAUGAACAGGCCGAAGGAAAGUUGGAGAACGAGAUUGAGGUCGUCAAUAGAGUCAGUCACAAAAAUCUUGUUAAGCUAGUUGGUUACUGCAUUGAUGGAGCCAACAGAUUGCUUAUUUUAGAGUAUUUUUCUAAUGGGUCCUUGAGAUCUAAAUUACAUGGUGAGUCCAAACCUUUAUUUUAUGUUCAUAUAACUAAUUAAUAUAACAUAAUUAAUCUUAUAAAUUACAAAUGGUACUGUAGGAAAGGAAAAUGUUUUGGACUGGAAAAAGAGAAUGAAAAUCGCCAUAGGUUCUGCAAAAGGAUUGCAAUAUUUACAUGAAGAUUGUGAGUAUAUAUUAAUAGCAUAGUAGGCUUUUUUGAGAAUGAAUUUUAUUUUUUUUUCCUUAUUUGUGCUAAUAAUUUAUUUCCUCUGAAAGUUUUGUUCUCCCUUUUUAUAUAUAUGUUUUUUUUUUUUUUUUCAGGUGAACCUAAAAUCAUACAUUUAGAUGUUAAGGCAGAUAAUAUUCUUCUUGAUGAUAACUUUGAAUCUAAGGUAUGAUAUAUAAUUUGAUAAUAAAUAAAAAUUUUAUUCUUAUCAUCAUAUAACUAUAGUGGAACCUUUACCAUUGAAUAUCAAAAUUUUUAUUUUUAAAUAAUAUUGAAAAAUAAUGUGAACCCAUUAAUUUGAUUGCAUAGGUUUCAGAUUUUGGACUUUCCCUAUUUUUUUCGGAUGCUGCUUCUCAUGUCUCAAGAUCAUCAAUUAGAGGAACCCAAAUGUAUGUAAGAUACAAAUUUCUUUCUAUCAUUUAAUAACUGUCUAUUGUUUUCAGUGCCAUCAUGAUAUCUACUCUUAGAGCUCCUUAAUUUAAAGAUAUUAUUUUCUUACAGGAAAUCUUAAUAUGAACAUUAAUUGUGAAGAUAUUAAGUUUAAUUGUAUGAUUGAAUUGCAGCUAUGCAGAUCCAUUGACAACACAAUUGGGAAAACACUCUGAUAAAUCUGAUGUUUAUUCUUUUGGUGUUACACUUUUGGAGUUGAUUAGUGGGAGAAAACCCAUAAAUCAAAACGGCGUCAAUAUUAUUACUUGGGUAUGAAUCUAUUAAAUUGUAACAAUUUAAUAUAAAAUUGUGUUUUUAGCUUUUGAUAUAAGAAUUGAUCUUUAAAAGAAUGGAUUCAACAAAUCACAAUUGGAUGUAUGGAGAUAAAAUAAUGAAACUUUCUUUCUAGCAACAUUUAAAAAAAACAAAGAAGACAAAAACAUAUGCUAUAUGUUAAAUAUAAAUUUACAGGCAACAUGUAUUUAUAUCCAUUAAUAAAUAAUUUUUAAUGGAUUUUUUGCAGGCAAACUCUUUAAUUGAAAAAGUUUUGAAAGGUGAAUAUGCGGAUUUUGUAGAUUCCAGGUUACAAUCCUUUGACCAUGAAGAAAUGCAUCGAAUUAUUUUUUGUGUUAAUGCUUGCAUAAAUCUACCUCCAAAAUUCCGUCCAUCAAUGAAAAGGGUAAAUUCUGUUUAUAUAAUUUAAUUUUGGUAUAUAUAUAAUACACGUUAUUUGCAAUAAAUUUUAUGGAAGCAUUUAGAGAUUACAAGUGUUGACUUGUAAAUCUUUUUAUCAUUGCUGUGCCAUGUAGGUAGUUCUAGCCCUUGAAGGAAUUCUGCCUCUAAAGAAUGACAACAAAUUGUACUCCAGAGCUUCAUAUGAAGGUCUGUUUUCUUGUAAAAAAUGGAAUAACUUUUGUAAGGUGUUAUUAAUUUUUUAGGAGACUUAUUAUUUAGUCUAUCAAAUAUAGUAAAAUUCGUUAGUUAGUCUCUUAAUUUUGAAAAACAUAUUAAAACGUUCAUAAGAUAAAAAAUCUACUAAUUAAUUUCUCCGUUAAUUUUAGUCAUUAAGCGUUAAAAAAAUCUAAAAUUAAGAACUAAUUAGUUUAAUUUUUAUAAAAUUAAGAGAUCAAUUAAAAAAUUUUAUUUAUAUUAUAGAAACUAAAUAGUAAAAACACUUAACGUCUAAAGUUAACAUAUAACUGAUUAGUGGUUUUUUUAAUAUUUCAGGGAUAUUUUAAUGAGUUCUUUAAAUUAGUGGAUUAACUAGUCAAUUUUAUUAAAUCUGAGGGACUAAAUAAUUAUUUUCUUUCUCUGUAUAUAUAAAUUAUAACUUGAUGAUAAAGUGAGAUCAUUUUAAUGUUAAAAAACCCUUAAUAUUAGAACAGAUUUUGAUUUUUAUUUAAAUCUGAUUGGCAUAUAAUUCCUUUAUUUAAAAGGAGAUGGAAUGAUAUGAACUUAAUUCAUUUUUUAAAAAAAUAAAAAGUAUCCACCUCAGUUCAUGUAUUUAAUAAUUUCUCCUUGUUGAGUUACACUAAUUUACCCUUCUUUUUCCGGAAGCAGAUGAGCCUAAGCCAAGCCCCAAGCCUCCGAUCAUUCCAGAAACUAAUAGAUCAUCAAAUGAAGUUUACAAACCAAGGAGAUUUACUUAUAAACAACUAAGUUCUGCAACUAAAGAUUUCUCCGAAAGCAACCUUCUUUACAGGGGUAUUAUGGGUGAAGUAUAUAUGGCAUCCCUAAAUGAUGUCGGACAAGUGAUAAUCAAGAAAUUUCAUCUCGAAAAAGAAGAUGAAUUCAAGAAGAUUAAAGGCAUCAGCAGUAGUGUUCAUCACGAAAAUCUUGUUAACCUGGUUGGAUACUGCAAUGAAAGAGAUAAUAAUCUGCUUGUUUAUGAGUGUUUUAGGUUUCGAUCCUCUUUAAGAUUUCGUUUACUCGGUAUGCUCUUUAUAAUUAAAUAACUUGCAAAUUCUACAUUUAUCAAAAACCUUAUUUUAUUAUUUUUUGGCCGGAUUUUUAACUAGAUGCGUAUAUAAUACAGGGACAAAAAUAAUGAGUACAUCAAUAAUGGAAUGGCCAACCAUCAAGGGCAUAGCUUUAAGCAUCGCAAAAGGAUUAGUACAUCUCCACGAAUUAUGUGAGUCUUAAACUGAACCAUUAUUUGUUUCUAGUUUUUUUUUUUUUUUUACAUUUUAUUUAUGAUGUCUGUAUUUCCAGAUAAACCUUUGAAUACCUACGAGCAUUACCUGGAUGAUUGCGUAUUUCUUGAUGAUAAUCUUGAACCAAAGGUAGUUAUGAUAAAUUUAAAUAUUUUCAAUGAUCAAUUAUUGAUAUAAAUCUUGGAGAUUAUAUUCUGUGUGUGAUCAAUUAUAUGUAAAAUUAUCAUUCAACAUGUAAUUAUAUCUUUUUUGUUGUAAUUAAAAAUACACUUCUUGUUUCUGUUCAAAAAAAAAAUACACAUCUUGGUUAACUUAGCAAAAAAUAAAAAGAAAGAAAGAAAGAAAGAAAAGCACACACUUUUUUUAAAAUAACAAACCAAAGGUAAAUUUUAUAAAUAUUAAUAUUUAAUUUAUAUGUGUAAUUAGUAAUAGAAAUAAUAAUUAAAAAAAUCAAUAUAGUUGAGUUUCAAGUUGAAUAUAUAUGGCCAUUAUUGGAUUGUGAAACUAUUGAAGUUUACUAAUUGUGUUUGAUGUUGAUCUAUAUGGUGCAAUAAAUUUAUUUGGUUCUUUUUUUUAUCAGUUUGCUGAGUAUGGACGUACCAAUUUUUUCUUAAAAGAUUCUGAAAUGCUUCUUUCUAGCAGGUAAAAAUGAUUAUUAUAUUUUGUUUCUUGAUUAGAUUAUUUGCAACUACAUGACUUAUAUUUGAUAUGUUAGGAAUUUUUUUUUGGCAUUUAAGGAAGAAAAACAUCUUAGCAUUCUUAUACUUUUAGUGAAGAUUUGUCGACAAUUAUUCUUAUAUUUUCUUUUAUCUUCUAUUGCAGUUCAACGACUUCUACAUAUCUUAAGUUUGAUGUGUAUUUUUUGGGUAUAAUUCUUCUGAAGCUUAUUACUGGGAAACAACAACAUAAUGACAUCAGUUCUAUUAAUGACUAUAACUUGAUCGAAUUGGUAUGUAUUUCUUCCCAUAGUCUAAAAUGCAAGUAGCAAAAUUCAAAAUAGAUCAAAUAAUUCAUUGUUGAUAUUAGCCAUAGUCUAAAAUGCAAGUAGCAAAAUUCAGAAUAGAUAAAAUAAUUCAUUGUUGAUAUUAGCAAUGAGGAUUUAGUGACAUGCUAACUCCAUUGCUGAAGUUAAUUUUAACUAGCAAUAUAUAAUUGUCAAAUUAAAAUAGUCACUGAAAAGCUUGUCAACAAUUUAAAAAUGGAUUAGCAAUGGAAUCGAUUGUGAAUCUACAUUAUUAGCGACAGAUCUAUCAAUCCAUCACUUGAAGUCUAUUUUUUAUUAUUUUGUAUUGUAUGUAUAUAUACAUUCUUUUAUAUGUCAAUGAUUUUUUUAAUGUAUUAAUUAUAAUUCAGAUGGCGAUUCACCUAAAAAAUAAUUGGCCCAAAAGUGACUAUAGUUUUGUCGAUCCAAGAAUUGAGAGUUAUGACAAACAUGAAAUGGAUCAAAUGAUUGAAUGUGCUAUAGCAUGUGUAAAUCCUUGUCCACAAUAUCGACCUCAAAUGAGUCAGGUAUGUAAUAAUUCUUUUAAAAAGGAUUGUAGAAAUGUGUAUAUGAAUAAAUAUUUACAAUUAAAACUAAAAAUCAGAAUUAAUUGAACUCAUUUCAGCCUAUUUAAUUUAACUGUUAGAAUAUAUUUAAUAGCAGAUAAUUUUUUGUAAUGAGUAGCUAACAAAUAAGUCGAGUUGAUAUAUCUUAGAUGUUUUAUAAAUUAUGUCUAAUUCAUAUGAUUAAUAUGUCACAUGAGUAAUUGGCAAAUAUCAAUUUAUUAUACUAUUGAAAUAAAUAUAAAAUUAUUAAUUUAUUAUACAAUAUAUAUAGUAAUUAAAAGCAUAAUUUUUCAAAAUAUAAUUGUUUUCAUGCAUAUACAUAAUUUUUUGUUCUAUAAUAAUUAAUAUUAUAAAUAUUUUAAUUGUUAUUUAUAAUAUUUUUAAUUUAUUUAUUAUCUCUUAUAAUUUUAAGUAAUUUAUUGAUAUAAAAAUUUAAUUUAAAAAUUAUUAUUAAGAAAAUUUUAAAAGAUAAUAUAUUCUAAAUAAAAAAUAAAAUUAAAAUAACUAUUAAGUAGUAAAAAACAAUUCUAAUAUUCGAGCUUAUGUGAACUACAACUAAUAAGUCUCAUAUAAACUACUAAUUGGUUUUUAAACAUUUAAAAAAUAUAUUAAUUAUAGUUAUAGCCAUUGCUGUAAACAAAUUCUGAACUAUGACUCAUCUUUAUUUAUUCCAUUUCUUAUGAAAAGCAGGUGGUCGAAGUUCUAGCAGGAAAUAUUCCUGCGAGAAAUCUCGAGAAGAAUUUUUUCUUUUUUCAUGAAAAAAAAGAAUGAAAGAUUUUUGGAUUCUGGGGAUGAAGUAUAUAUGUAUAUCUGCAGCAAAGCUAAAGAGUGUAAUAGUUAUCUUUUAUCAGAUAAUUUCAGAUUGGCAACUCAGUAUCAAAUUGAGAAAAUAAAAAUUAUUCCAUUAAUUGUAAGCAUAAAUAACUUUGUAUAAUUUUUUUUUUUUUUUCUAAGCAUACUUUGUAUCAAUUUACUAUUUAAAUAAAAAGUAAUAUUUCAUAUAUAUUGUUAAUUCUAUUAAUUAUAAUAAAACCUUAAUGACUUAAAUAAACCUCUUGUUAGUAUCUAAAUUAAGGAAUGAAUGAAAAUCAUCACCAUAUGAUGAAUUAGAUUCCACCUUGCUUAAAUUCAAAGGCCAUGAUUGUUCAUUGAUAGAGUCAAUAGCGUAAGUGUAUUCAUUCAUAUUUUUAAGUGGAAAUCAAGCUAACCUUCUCGAUUGCCUUAAUAAACAAUAAACAACUUCUUACUUUUAUAAGAUUUUUAUAUUUUAAAUUUUUUUUAUUUUUAUAAUUUUAUGUUGCCCACAAUACAAAAUUAAUUAGUCAAUUAUUGAAUUCGAAUAUAUCUGUAUUCUAACCCUUGAGUUGGACUUUAAUAUAAAGUAUAGAGAUAUUAAUUAUAUUAAUAAUAAAAUAUUAAUAAUAUCUCCAUCAUUGAGGUGUUUUUCUUAAAAAAAAAUGUUAGGUGUAAAAUCCAUCAGAUGAAUACACAUUAAAAUGUAUAAAUAUCAAGUGCCUUCAUAAAAAAUUAAUAAUUUGAAAAAGAAAAGAGAAAAAAGAAUAAUUAAGAGAGAUAAAUGAAGUGGAGCAAAAUUGAUAAACUUAAUUUUCAUCUAUUUAUAUUAUUUUUUCCCUGCAAAAUAUCGAGCUGGAGGCCACAUGCUGCGCAUUCUACGCUCAUCGUCAACGUUAAUUUUCUUUUUUUUAAGGAAAAUGAAGGUCUGAAUGGGCACAUCUCCCUCUCCAUCUCUGACCAUUCGCAUUCACACUUAAUAAGCACUGUAUUUUAUAUAUAUAUACUUGCAACAAACCUCUGACUGUGGUUGGGCAAGUUGAUCUGCGACUUCCGAUGGCCUCUCGCUGGGGGAUGAACAGGGCAGAUAGCCAGAGUGAAACUAGAGGUAUUAAUUUUUUUUUAGCUGCAACUGAGUAACGAGUUCAAUAGUAAUAGUUUCAUGGAACUUUCGUUUCAUUAAACUAUUUGAGGCAUGUUGUUUAUUGAUUGUCACUGCGCACAGAUCGGAAUGAAUCUGGCUCAUCUCCUGAGAAGAGUCGAAGUUAUGCAUCUAACAAUUAUAAGGGUAUUGGGCCAAAGUCAUAUUCAUACAGUGAACUAGCAAAGGCAACUGGUCUUUUCUCGCUCAAUAACCAACUUGGUCAAGGUGGUUUUGGUCAAGUUUUUAAGGCAAUCUUAGAUGGUAAGAUCCGUGCUAUCAAGAAACUUAAUAAUUUUCCAGAUAUACAGUCUGAAGGAGAUUUGGAGAGGGAGAUUAUGGUCGUCAAUAGAGUCAGUCACAAAAAUCUUGUUAAGCUGGUUGGUUACUGCAUUGAUGGAGCCAACAGAUUACUGAUAUUGAAGUAUUUUCCCAAUAAGUCCUUGAAAUAUACAUUACAUAGUGAGUCCCAUGCACAUUCUUUCUUUUGCCCAUGUUCAUGUAUAAUUAAUAUUUCGUAAUUAAUCUUACAAAUUACAAAUCAUUUUGUAGGAAAGGAGAAUGUUUUAGAUUGGAAAAAAAGAAUGAAUAUUGCAAUAGGUUCUGCAAGAGGAUUGGAAUAUUUACAUGAACACUGUGAGUAUAUAAUAGAGAACAUAUUUUUGCUUGUUAGGCUUUUAAAUUUUGGGAGUGAGUUUUUAUUAAACCUUGUUUAUUUCUUCUAACAGUUCUGUGUUUUCUUUAUAUUAUUUUCAGGUAAACCUAAAAUUAUACAUUUAGAUAUCAAACCUGAUAAUAUUCUUCUUGAUAAUGAUUUUGAACCUAAGGUAAGAUAGUUUGAUAAUAAAUAUAAAUUUUAUUUAUAUCAUCGUAGAUGUAUGCUGAAAUUUUGAUCAUUUUAUUCCAAAAUUUUAUUUUUGAAAAAUUAUAUCAACCCAUUAAUUUGAUUGUUGUAAUUAAUUAAUAAUGAACCUUAAUAAGGCUUCUUAUCUUCUUUUCAUGCUCUACUACUUUCUUAAUAAACCUUAUUGGAGUACGGAAAAUAGUAUAAUUUUCCAAAUAAAAAAUAUAUAUAUUCGUGAAAUUAAAUGUGAAAAAUAAUUAUACCUUUUAAUUAAUAUUUAUAUUACAUAUGCAUGGCAUAAUAAAUUUACUAAUCUACUUAAAUCAUUUGUUUAGGUUUCAGAUUUUGGACUUGCCCUAUUCUUUAAGGAUGCUGCUACUCACGUAUCCAGAUCAUCAACUUUGGGAACUCAUAUGUACGUAAAAAAAAACUUUCUUUCUAUUAUUUAAUUACUUCACUAUUAUUGCCUUUUUUUUUCAAUGUCGUCGUUAUCUAAUCUUAAAAUAAUUUAAAAAAUUAAAUUAAAUUAAAAAAAAAAAAGAAAAAGUAAAAAAAGAAAUUAGGCUCUUAAUUUGAAGAUAUUAGUUUUUUAAAGAAAAUCUUAACACAAAUUUUAAUUGUAAUUGUAAUGAUUUAUUAACACAAAUUUUAAUUGUAAUUGUAAUGAUUUAAUUACAGUUAUGCAGACCCAUUAUCAACGAAAUUGGAAAAAUAUUCUGAUAAAUCCGAUGUUUAUUCUUUUGGUGUUACGUUGUUGGAGCUUAUUACUGGACAAAAUUCUAUUAUUGAUGCAAGCACCGACAUCGUUACUUGGGUAUGACUCUUUAUUAUUAAUAGUUUAAUAUAAAAAUUACAAUAUAAAAAUUGUGAUAUAAAAAUCAAUCUAAAAGAAGAAUUGAAUUCAAAUCUCAGUUGGAUGUAUUUAAUAAUGAAUCAUUCUCUAUAGCCACAUGAAAAAAAUAGAAAAGGACAACCCAUAUGCUAUAAGUUAAAUACAAAUGUACAUGCAACAUACAUUUAUGAUCCAUUAAUAAAUAACUCAUUAAUGAUAUUGUAGGCAAAACCUCUAAUACAAAAGGCUUUGGAGGGAGAAUAUGCAGAUUUUGUAGAUUCAAGAUUGCAAUCUUUUGACCACGAACAAAUGCAUAGAAUGAUUUUUUGUGCUAAUGCUUGCAUAAAUCAACCGCUAAAAUAUCGUCCAUCAAUGAAAAUGGUAAAAUUUAUUUUUAUAAUUUAAUUUUGAUAUAUUUCAAAACUUUGUCUAUAUAUAUAUAUAUAUAUAUAUAUAUAUAGAUUACAUAAUAUAUUCAAUUGAGUUUGCAGAAGCGUUGAGAGAUCACAUUGUUGACUUAUAAAUCUUUUUAUCAUUGAUAUGCCAUGUAGAUACUUUUAGCUCUUGAAGAAAUUUUGCCUCUAGGAAAUCUGUGCGAUGAGAAGAACAACAACAAAUUGCAAUUGAAAGCUACUUACAAAGGUAAAUUUCUUAUAAAAAAUAAAAAAUAUCUAUUUCGAAAUGUUAUUCAUUUUUUUUAUGGAUAAAAUAUAACUUAAUGAUAAAGUGGAAUCAUCUUAAUGUUAAAAAACUGAACAAAUUUUAAUUUAUUUAAAUGACAUAUAAUCCUUUAUUUAAAAGGAGGAAGGGAUGACAUGAACUGAACUAAUUCACCUUUUUGUAAAAAAAAAGUAUCCACCUCUGUUCAUGUACUUGAUCCUUUUUUCCUUUAAUAAUUUAUCCUUAUAGAGCUGCACUAGUUUACCAUUUUGUUUUCUGAAGCAGAUGAGCUUAAGCCAAGCCUCAAGCCUCCUAUCAAUCAAGAAACUAAUAAGCCAAGCUCCAAGCCUCCUGUCAUUCAAGAAACUAAUCAAAUCGUUGUACGGAAGGGUCGAAGCACCAGUCGGCAGCCAAGAGAAGCAACUAGUAAUAGUUCCUCCAACAGCAUUCGAGAAACUUCAUUUGAUGAGAGAAACCAAGUUUACAAACCAAGGAGAUUUACUUAUCAUCAACUAAGAUCUGCGACUCAAGGUUUCGCUGAAAACAACCUUCUCAACGGGGGUCUUUUGGGUGAAGUUUAUAAGGGUAUCCUAAAUUAUGAUGAAUGGGUGAUGGUAAAGAAAUUCUAUAUAUACAUGCAUGGAGGGAAAGAAGAUGAAUUCAAGAAGAUUAAAGACAUCAGCACCAGUGUCCACAAUAAACAUCUUGUUAACCUAAUUGGAUACUGUGAUGAAGGAGACAAUAGAUUGCUCGUUUACGAGUAUUUUCCAGAUAAGUCCUCCUUGAGAUCUCAUUUAGAAGGUAUGCACUUUUAUCUUAAGCAACUCUUGUCUAUAUUUUAUUUUUUUAUAAUAUUUACUUCUAAACCAAUCAGAUAUUUAUUUUCCCAACAGAUAAUAUGGCAGGGAAAUACCGUUUGGAUUGGCCAACCAGAAUGGCGAUCGCUUUACGCAUCGCAUUAGGAUUGGUACAUCUGCAUGAUCGAUGUGAGUCUUCCCUUGUAUGCUUAGGCCUUGGCUAUAUCAAAGCAUGAUUUUCCCAGAUAUUUCUCACUUAAUGUUUGUGAUCUCUAUAUUUUUCAGACAAGCCCUGGAAUAUAUACGAGCAUUAUAAGGAUAAUAGCAUCUUUCUUGAUGAAAUUCUUCAACCAAAGGUGAUUAUAUAUAUGGCAGAUUUAAACAUUUUCGAAUGAUCAAUUAGUGGUAAUAUUUCUCAUAUUGGACAUUGAUGAUCUGAGAUCCAGAAAAUAGGGUUUUUUACAAUGGGUUUGUGAAUCUUAGCUAAGAAGAAAAUCCCCCAAGGAGAGAAUGUUUCUUCUAUUUAUCUGUUUCCAUUGCCUAUCCGUGACGUGUAACGGCCCAACUUCCAUUGGGCCACCUGUCUCUGCCAUACUGAUACGAUCGUACAAGGAUAUCAGAUUCCUGCCCCAUGCAUAACAGCCUCUGAUUUCCUCUGGGCGCGCAUAUGGAUGGACCCACAAGACAGACGGGUCGAUCCACUUCCUGAUUCUGAGUUGGAUCCGAAGAUUGGAUUAAAACUGAGCCCAAGCCGGAUCUGUCUAAUGGGCCGUGGGGAUUGGGUCGACCUGUUUGAGGAAGAUAGCUGGAUCUCGGUCUUAAAGCUGAGUGGACCGGACCUGGUUCAUGUGGGAGACUUGAAGGCCUCCAGAUAAUGGGCUGUUGUCAUGGGUCCGGCCCCAAACCGUGAUGGCGAAAACCAGCGGUCAUCAAUUGCCCCUUUACCUCCUCGUCAAUUAUUGCCCGACUGAAGAGGGAGUAAAUACCGAGAGUCAUCAUGACCGCGCCACCCAAGGACAAAACUAUUCAAAACAUCUUUUCGGCUCUUUAUUGUUUCAAAUUUCAUUUCCCGUCAAUCUCCCCAGAACGUUGGCUCUUCUCUGUUCUACUGCUCUCUUUGCUUUCCUCUGCUCAUUUGCCCUAAUCACUUUUCAGGUACGCCUCUUCUUUUACUAUGGAUAGUUCUAGUCUCCCCGAUGUCGUCGACCAGGAGUCUAGCAUCACCCAGUCUAACAUUAGGAGUUUCAUCUCUAGGAAAUACCUGGAUACCCCUCUUUAUCACAUCCGGGCUCCUUACCCGAAUGAGAGAAUCGUUCUUCCUAAUCCUUCUCCCCCUGGCCUAAUCGACCCUCAAAGGGACGUCAGUCUAGUUUUCUUUAUCAAACAGAGGGAGUACGGUCUGUCCUUUCCCUUUUCUCCUUUCUUCAAAAAGGUCUUCCAGUAUUUCGUGAUCACCCCUCGAAUGCUAACCCCUAACUUCGUUCUUUUCAUGUCUUGCUUUGAAUCUGUGUGUUUGAGCUGGGGGUUUACACCCACGGUUCACCUGUUCGUCAGCUUCUUCAGGCUAGUCAAAGUGAGCCAGAAAUUUUAUUACUUUGCCCCUCGCGGAGGGUUGUCCAUUUUCACGGGUUAUAAAGACUCCAUCAAGGGCUGGGUAGAGGGGUUUCUGGUGGUGGAGUUGAAGAAGAAUACGGGGUUGGCUUGGGAGCUCGAUCUUGCCUGGGAGGAUGUCUCUCUAGGUUGCAACGACCUGCCCCAGUUGGACCUUACUGAGCAGGUCGGAUUCCUUCGACUGACUUCUGUGGAUAGGAAGUAUGCCAUCGAAAAGUGCUUGUUCGCAUCCAACCUUAGGGAUAUUAAGGACGCGGGUAUCUUAUUCUAUCUGCCUGUGUUAGUUUUUGCUUACGCGAUCUUUGGUGAGAACUGUUCUGAUUUGCUUUGAUUUUUAAUUUUGUAGCCUCUGAGGUGAAAAUGGAUCGGAUUAAGCCUCCCAAGAAUCUCAUACUGUCCCGGGAGAGCAUGGACACUGCUCUGGAUGCCCUCCUGGCUGGGCAAUCCAUAAGGGAGGCUACUCAAAGGGUGGCCGAGGUUAUUUCUUCCAGAUCGGGUACCCGACCUCCUCCUCCUUCGGUCUCCUCACAAGCUCCUAGGCCAAACUCCCGACGUAGUAAGUCGUCUCGGCCCUCUAGUCGCAGCAAACCGAACUCGACUCACCAGUCCUUUCAAGCCCCCCGACCUCAACACUCUUCUACUGAGAGGGCAGAAGAGACUCCAAGAAUUAUUUCUGAAGUGGCUGAGAAAGCCAGGCUGACGAGGACGGAUCCCGCCCUUCCUCCUGUGGACGCUUCUGAUGUGGGGCUUGAAGUUCCCGCUGUUAUUGAGGAGGAGGUCUCCAAGGUGGGGUUCGAGGCCCCCAUUACUGAAGAGGAAGCUCCAGGGAAAAGUAAGGAGGUUAUUCUUAUAGACGAAGAUGUCCAGGAGGCCCUUACCGGAGAUGUUGGAUCCGGCCCUGCUAAUGACGGAGGAGUCACAGAGAAGGCUGGGGACAAGCGUCCUGCCUCUCCCGAAAUGUCUGCCCCAGCUCCUGCUCGGAAGAAAUCCAGGGUUUCCAAGGGAUCAGCUCCAGCUCUCUCUCCUAUUGGAAAGAGAAAGGAAGCUUCCAAGGGAUUAGCUCCCGCUCUCCCCCCUCUCGAAAAGAAGAAGGAUGUUCUUGUGAUACCCCUGUUGUCUGCUCUUGACAACGACAUUUUGAACGCUGAGAACAUAACUCAUCAAACUCCAGCGAGUGUCGUAACGGAGAUCUUACGGGAGCGAAUGUUCGGGGGAAUCACAGAGGCUUCAGACUCUCGUCUACUUGCUUUGACCGGCCAUUUGGCUGGCUUCACACGGGAGUAGACAGCCUUCCGGUCUCUACCUCGAGGGGAGCUUGGAGAUAGGAUUAGGGAGAUGCUUCUGAUGGUAAGUUGUUCGUUCCAAUUUCUGCUCGUAUUCCAAUUUUCUUUGUUUCUUUGUUCUGACAGCUUUCUCUUUUUGUACUAGGUGAUGGGCCUCUUCAUGGUGGUGGACGCUCGUGACCUCUCUCUCUUAGAAUCUGUUGAUCGUCGGAUCGAGGAGGCGCGUCUGGAGGAGAACCUGUCUGCAACCAGUGAUGCCAGGAGCAACCUUGCGGCAGCUCGAGAGCAUGCUAGGUCCCUAGAGGCGGAGUUGUCUCACGCUCGAAGGGUUCUUAAAGAGUCUAACGAUAGGGCAGCUGCUGUUGAAGUCCGCUGUGAAGAAGUCCUGAAGCAGCUGUCCUCUACGGUAGAUGCCCUUCGUGAAAAGGACGAGGCUUUAAAUCAAAGGGACGAGGCCCAGCGUCAGUAUGAGGCCUUGAAGGCUGAUUUCGAGGGAGUCCGGGCACGUCUUAUCAAGGUGGAAGUCCAGAAGGAGGGGGCACUAGCUCGGGUCGAGGUUCUUGAGCAGGAGUUGAGUAAGAGUUCAGAUCGCAUCAGAGAUUUGGCCUCGGCGGCAGAGGAAUCUAAACUUCUCAAUCAAAAACUCUGUCAUGAGGUCGAGACUAUGGAGCAUAGAUGUUCAGCCCUGCUCAAGGAUGUCAGACUCGUUGAAGACAGGGUCCAGCUAGAGUGUGAGAGGCGUCUGAUGGAGUAUAAAGAGUCUCCCGAGCUGAAAAAAGAGAUCGAUCAGGCCUGUGAAGCGCGCCUCCAGGAUUAUAAAAGUUCUUCUGAAUUUAAAGUCAAGAUAGCUGAGGCCUGUGAGAAGCGACUUGCGGAGUUCCAAGGCUCUGAUGAAAUGAAAACUGCCAUAUGGAAUAGGGGCUUCCGCAUGUUCAUCUCUGGGUAUAAUAGAGGUCUGAGGACAGCCAGAUACGCUCUCUCUACCCCGUUGGCUGAACUCCGAGCUGUAGAGGAAGACUCUGAUGGCGAGGAGGUGCUUUAUGGGGAGGAUGACAGGCCUUUGCCCAAAGGGGCUCCUCGCACUGCAGCUGGGCCUUCUGAGGUAGGCGCCGAGCUGGGAGAUGGAGAUGCUGGGCCUCAAGGGGAAGAGAUUGUGCCUUUUGUGGGUACUGAAGAGUCUAAGCCAGAAGGUGCUGGGCCUCCCAUAGACAGUAAUGUAAAUGUAGAUAGUACAGGGGGUAAUGUAGAUGAUAAUGCCCCCAGACAUGUAAGUCCUUUAAGGACUGUUUUUCCUUCAGUAGAGUAGACUGUAAAGUAGGUUGUAAUUACUUUUAUUUUUAAUGAAAUUUAAUUUUCGAGUUGUGUUGGCGUUUUGAGUUAUUUUGAUUGUUACUUAUUUCUCUAGCUUUAUUUGUACUUGAGUUGUUCUUACCUCGGCUUGUUCUUCCCUCCUCACCGGGCUACUUGUUCUGCUUAAACAGUCUGACUUGUUUAUUUUUAGAGAUUUGAGAAUAGAACACUUAGGCAGUGUCUAACAAAUCUUGUAAGGAAUUGACUACAUUGCCUUCCCUUUCUCGCCCCUCAAUUAAUCAGGGCUGAAAACUUAGCAAGAGACUUAGUCUCUGACUUAUAAUCUUUUUUAAUUUCACAAAGGCGUUCUCAUCUGUAAAUUUUCUCCGAGCUGGAUUUGCCUUAAGGCUAAGAUCUUCAAGCUGUACUUUUUUAUGGAUUUAGGUCUUCACUAUGAGCUUGGUUUUUAACAGCUGACUUAAUAUCGUCAACUUUCUUUCCCUUAUUGUAUAUGUACGAGCUCGGGCGUGUAGCCCUUAUACGACUGAAGUAAAAAGGAUUAUGUACCUCUUUCGAGCAGGGUUGAUCUUCUUCUUUUCAGUUCUGUUUCUUAUCUGCUCACGCCGUUGAACUUCCUUUCAGCUCAUGAGAGGUUUGUUAUCUUCAUUUUAUUCUUUGAGUUUUCUGAGCUUGGUUCUUCUUCGUUGCUUGGUUUUUCGAGUUCGCGCUUCCAGGUCGGCACUUUUGGCCUUUUGUUGUCUUUCUUUUUAAUUUUAGUUUUCGAGUAUGUCUCUGCCGGGCCCUUUGCUGCUUGGGUCUUCUCCUAGACUAGUCGAACUGGUUCAGUGCUAGUCAUCAAGUUUUGAGGUCGGAAUCUUACCAGCCUGUAAUAUGAGUUUGGACGGGUAUUGUGAGAGUGAAACUCUGGUGAUGAAAAGAUCUCCUUCGUUCCCACAGACGGCGCCACUUGAUGAUCUGAGAUCCAGAAAAUAGGGUUUUUUACAAUGGGUCUGUGAAUCUUAGCUAAGAAGAAGUACCCCAAGGUGAGAAUGUUUCUUCUAUUUAUCUGUUUCCAUUGCCUGUCCGUGACGUGUAACGGCCCAGCUUUCAUUGGGCCACCUGUCUCUGCCAUACUGAUACAAUCGUACGAGGAUAUCAGAUUCCUGCCCCAUGCAUAAUGGCCUCUGAUUUCCUCCGGGCGCGCAUGGAGAUGGACCCACAAGACAGACGGGUCGAUCCACUUCCUGAUUCUGAGUUGGAUCCGAAGAUUGGAUUAAAACUGAGCCCAAGCCAGAUCUGUCUAAUGGGCCGUGGGGAUUGGGUCGACCUGUUUGAGGAAGAUAGCUGGAUCUCACUCUUAAAACUGAGCGGACCGGACCUGGUUCAUGUGGGAGACUUGAAGGCCUCCAGAUAAUGGGCUGUUGUCAUGGGUCCGGCCCCAAACCGUGGUGGCAAAAACCAGCGGUCAUCACACAUUAUUAUGUAAAAAAUUUCUUAAGCUUAUUAUUCAAUAUAUGCAACUAUACUUAACUGUAAAUAUAUGGUGCAAUAAAUUUACUUUGAUUAUCAUUUUAAUCAGUUUGCAGAGUAUGAACGUGACAAAUUUUUCUUAAAAGAUUCUGGAAAUUCUAUUACUAGCAGGUAAAGAUGAAACUUUUGUUUAUGUUUCCUCUUCGUCACAUUGCUUGCUCAAGCUUAUAGAUACAUGAUCAAUUCUCCAACUGCAGUUCUAUGUCUUCAAGAUAUGUAAAGCUAGAUGUUUAUUUCUUCGGUGUAAUUCUUUUGGAGAUAAUUACUGGGAAAUUACCUGUUAGUGAUAUUAGUUCCUAUGAUUCCUUCAACUUAAUUGAAUGGGUACGUAUUAUUUUUCUGUUUUAAUACAAAUGAAAAGAGCUUCUUGAUUUGAGUAUGUAAGGGUUUAUUUAUUUAUUAUUCUUAACGUUCAGGCUGUUCCUGCAAUUCAAAAUGAUUGGCCCAAAGGCAACUAUAAGUUUGUUGAUGAAAAAUUGGGGAGAAACUUUGACGAGGAUGAAAUGGAUCGAAUGAUAGAAUGUGCUUUAGCAUGUGUAGAGCGUUAUCCACAAAAUCGACCAGAAAUGAGUAAGGUAAUUUCAUAAAGCUUCAUAUUCUAUUUUAUAUUAUGCACAUACAUUUGAGUUUUAAAUAAUUAAGCAUUAACAGUAUUUUUAUUAUGAUUAUAAAAUUAUUAGUUUAGUACUGUUAAAGAUAAUAAUUUAAAACUGUCAUAAAGAAAAUUCAUUAAAUAUUUAAUAAAAUUAUAAUUUUAGCUGCGUUUUUUAUUCAUUGUGAAAAAAUAAUUAAACCGUUACUUUAUUUUUAACAACAAAAGUAGAUGUAAUAAUCAUCAAUCUGUUAAUAUUAAUUUAUAGUUAUAAUUAAAAAUAUAAGAUAACAAUUUAUAGCUAUUGUUUUAAAUUUAUUUUUAUAGUAAUAAUUAUGAUAAACUAAUAACAUUCAUGUGUUGUAAUUAUACUCUAAUUUGGGGAAUAAAAAAAAACUUAAUUGCUAAAAGUUAAAUUUUGUAAGAAUUAUUAAUGAAGUUAAUCUAUUCCAUUUCUUGGCAGAUCCGGUACUUUUUUUUUUUCCCUUUCUCUAAUUACUUUUCUCGGCAAAGCAGGUUGUUGAAGUUCUAGCAGGAAACAUUCCUCGGAAAAAUCUCAAGAAUUGAGAUGAAAUGUUUGAAAAAGAAAAUUAUUUUUUUCCUUUUCAAUAGAAGUUGGAAACUUCCUUGAAAGGCCGAUUGGACAUUGAAAUAAAAAGAUAGACCUCAGUUGAAGUGGCAAAGGAGUGUAACUGGAAGACUUUCUGAAUUUUGCUUGUAUUGAUGUGUCUUGGAGACUA